CUGAGAUGUGACUUUGCCUUCUACCAUGAUUAUGAGGCUUUCCCAGCCACGUGGAACUGUAAUGGAUUAGGAAUUAGAAUUGUGGGUGGUAAAGAAAUCCCGGGACAUAGUGGAGAAAUUGGAGCCUAUAUUGCCAAGAUUCUUCCUGGGGGAAGUGCAGAACAGACGGGGAAGCUUAUGGAAGGGAUGCAAGUAUUGGAAUGGAAUGGAAUUCCCUUGACUUCUAAAACAUAUGAAGAAGUUCAGAGUAUCAUUAGUCAACAAAGUGGGGAAGCAGAAAUAUGUGGACCUGAAUAUGCUAUCAGAUUCUGAAAAUUCCCAGCAUCUGGAACUUCAUGAGCCACCAAAAGCUGUGGAUAAGGCGAAAUCCCCAGGGGUUGAUCCUAAGCAGUUGGCAGCAGAACUCCAGAAGGUUUCACUACAGCAGUCACCGCUGGUUCUGUCAUCAGUUGUUGAAAAAGGAUCUCAUGUUCAUUCAGGUCCUACAUCAGCAGGAUCCAGUUCCGUUCCCAGCCCUGGGCAACCAGGGUCCCCCUCAGUGAGCAAAAAGAAGCACAGCAGCAGCAAGCCUACUGAUGGAACAAAGGUUGUCUCUCAUCCAAUUACGGGAGAAAUUCAGCUUCAAAUUAACUAUGAUCUUGGAAAUCUGAUAAUACAUAUUCUCCAAGCAAGAAAUCUUGUUCCUCGAGACAACAAUGGUUAUUCUGACCCUUUUGUGAAAGUGUACCUUCUUCCAGGGAGAGGUGCUGAGUACAAGAGAAGGACUAAAUAUGUCCAGAAAAGUCUUAAUCCUGAGUGGAAUCAAACAGUAAUUUAUAAAAGUAUUUCCAUGGAACAGCUCAAGAAGAAAACACUGGAGGUGACAGUUUGGGAUUAUGAUAGAUUUUCAUCCAACGACUUCCUUGGGGAGGUAUUGAUUGAUUUAUCUAGCACAUCUCACCUCGAUAACACUCCAAGGUGGUACUCUCUCAAAGAACAGACUGAAAGCAUUGAUCAUGGCAAGUCUUAUUCCAGUCAGAGCAGCCAGCAGUCCCCAAAGCCAUCUGUUAUCAAAAGCAGAAGCCAUGGUAUCUUCCCUGACCCAUCAAAGGACAUGCAGGUUCCCACCAUUGAGAAAUCCCAUAGUAGUCCUGGUAGCUCAAAAUCAUCAUCAGAAGGCCAUCUCCGUUCUCAUGGACCAUCUCGCAGUCAAAGCAAAACCAGCGUCACUCAGACCCACCUGGAAGAUGCAGGGGCUGCCAUAGCUGCUGCCGAAGCUGCCGUGCAACAACUCCGCAUUCAACCAAGUAAAAGACGCAAAUAAAUUCCUCAGCAUGGCAGCUUAAUGUUCAUCUGUUGCCUUUCUUUCCUGCUGUCCUUUCCUGUUUGCUUUCAGUUUUCAGCAUCCUCUGCUCACCCUGUUCUCUGUCCCUUUGUGUAAGAACGAUAUCAAUACAUUAAUAUGCUCUUUCUUAUUUUGAUUUUUUUUAUUUACAUCGACUGAAAUAAAACUGGCUGUUUCUCCUUUGUUUCCACCAUCCAUCCAACCUGGCUCAUAGCAUUUGAUACAGUGUCUGUGAUGUUUGGAAGCAAAGCAAUGUUGUGUGUCCUUUUUGUUUGCGCUUAAAUAUCUUUUAGAAUACAGAAAUUAUAAGCACAAGUGGCUGCCAGUUUUCCAGGCCUUAUACCAAAAAAAAAACAA
rnacentral:sRNA from 1 species